GACGAACGCUGGCGGCGUGCUUAACACAUGCAAGUCGAACGGAAAGGCCCUGCUUUUGUGGGGUGCUCGAGUGGCGAACGGGUGAGUAACACGUGAGUAACCUGCCCUUGACUUUGGGAUAACUUCAGGAAACUGGUGCUAAUACCGGAUAGGAGCUCCUGCUGCAUGGUGGGGGUUGGAAAGUUUCGGCGGUUGGGGAUGGACUCGCGGCUUAUCAGCCUGUUGGUGGGGUAGUGGCUUACCAAGGCUUUGACGGGUAGCCGGCCUGAGAGGGUGACCGGCAACAUUGGGACUGAGAUACGGCCCAGACUCCUACGGGAGGCAGCAGUGGGGAAUAUUGCACCAUGGGCGGAAGCAUGAUGCAGCAACGCCGCGUGCGGGAUGACGGCCUUCGGGUUGUAAACCGCUUUCGCCUGUGACGAAGCGUGAGUGACGGUAAUGGGUAAAGAAGCACCGGCUAACUACGUG
rnacentral:rRNA from 1 species